CGUGUAGGCGGCCUUCUAAGUCUGAUGUGAAAGCCCGGGGCUUACCUCCGGAAGUGCAUUGGAAACUGGAAGGCUAGAGUACCGGAGAGGAGGGUGGAAUUCCUGGUGUAGCGGUGAAAUGCGUAGAUAUCAGGAGGAACACCGGUGGCGAAGGCGGCCCUCUGGACGGCUACUGACGCUGAGACGCGAAAGCGUGGGGAGCAAACAGGAUUAGAUACCCUGGUAGUCCACGCCGUAAACGAUGGGCACUAGGUGUUCGGGGUAUUGACCCCCUGAGUGCCGCAGCUAACGCAUUAAGUGCCCCGCCUGGGGACUACGGCCGCAAGGUUAAA
rnacentral:rRNA from 1 species